rnacentral:lncRNA from 1 species
UUUUUUUUUUUCUUCUUUUUUAAAAUGCCUCUCUGUCCUGCCUACAUUUUCUACAAUGGAUAUAUAUACAUUUAGGAUUAAGGACAGAAGUGUAAAAUACAAAUUGAAAGAGAAAUCUUAUGGGGAAAAUAAAGUUGCACGCGAACAUAAGAGAUGGAUUUCUUUUUUAAGACAGGAAAAUUACUGACUUCUCUUACGGGUUCAGCUCAAGACAUCAUUCCUAAGUCUUCAAGCAUCUUACCACCUGGUCACCUGUGACUGCCACAAUCUAUGGGAGAAAUGGCCAUAAUUCAAGGGUAGCUAAAGCAAUUCCUCUAAGCUCUGGGAGGAAGGCGCUCCCAAAUGCACAACGAAAAAAAGUAAUGUCCUAAGCAGCUGCCAGUUGAUGUCGGUCAUGAAAAUCCCUAGCACUUGUAUAAACCCCUUCACCUUCCAAAUCUUUCCUCUGGGCCUUGGGGCUCUUAUCUCCGAGUUCUCCAUUUGCUAAUCAUUGUACGUCCACUUUUUCCCUUUCCAGAGCCAUAAAAAAUCUUCUGAAGUCAUGUAAAGGGAAAAUAAGUUCAUGCAGCAAGUUCUCCCAAACAGGAGAAUCCCACUCCUGCAGGACAGACACACAUAGAAGAGCCCCAAGAAACCUUAUAACCCCUGGCACCCAGCCACGGGUCCACAGGUCCCACGCUAGCCGUUAAUGAGGGGGAACUUCUCGCUUGAAAAGCUUACAUCUUCCAAAAGGGAAAUCACUCUUUCCACUGGUCUUUAUAUAACGCUGCCCUCCUUUGGGGUGAGGUCACUUGUCAUGAUUUAUUCAUUAAGACAAAAGCAAGAAGGGAGGUUGAGGAAAGAAUGGAGACCAGAAGGGGACAAGGAAGGAAUACGGGCAUCUCUGCCCAGCAUCAACCGGAUCUGGUCCCAGUAAAACCUGGUAGGGAGGCCAAUGAAACAGCAUAAAGAAUACAAAGUAAAUGAGAUGUUUUAAAUAAUUUCGCUCUGGGCCAUGUAAAGAAGCAUUAGUCAUACAAGUAAUGAGAUCUUAUAGAGGGACAAUCCGGAGGCUUGGCUUGACGACGUUAAGUACUGCCAUUCUGGACCUGGAGUGCCAAUUACAUUUCCAAACUGGCAAUUAGACAUAAUGCCCCAAAGACAAUCACCAAAAAAUGCCAAAAACAAAGCAUGUUCCAUCUUUAAACGGCCAUUCUUUCGAAGCUGUCCUUCUAUCUCCUGCCUGACUCAUCCAUCUCGAAAACAAAUGCUCAUCAUGAACAAAUUCUUGUUAUCCACUGGUCAGGGGAGAGCGGGGUGGCAUAAAUAAUUAAAAUCCAGAGAUGACUCAAAUGUCCUUUUGUCACCAAAUCAAACCCACCCCUUCCCCCAGAGUUUCUCCAUAGCUUCUAACAAAUUGCCCCCGAAACGCAGCAAAAUGUACUUACACCUACAACAUUCCUACGCAGCACCCUGCCCCCUGAAAACUACCAUGGAAAGCAUGCUCCCAAAGUGUGUGUGUGUGUGUGUGUGUGUGUGUGUGUGUGUGCGUGCGCGCGCGCGCACGCGCCUGUUUUUAUAUGACUUGGUUCCUGCCCUCAGGGGGUUUGCAGGCAACGCCAUCAGAGACCGACAUGUGUGUGCCCUAUGAGAAGAUAACUGAAUUUUUCUCUCCCCUCCAUCAGACAAACUGGGUCUUAAUUUUCCCCUAGCACCUAACUUGGUUCCUGGAACAUAGGAUGCACUUACUAUGCAAUAAAAGUGAAAACAACAACAAUAAUAACCAGAAGACAUAUUUGAGGUCCUACUGUGUGCUGGGCAGCAUGGGAAGCCCUUCAUUUAGGCUGAAGAUGCUCAUGAUAAAUGUUUAUUCCUGACUCUCCCCUUUGACGAUGGAAGAAGACAAAAAGCACAUCGCAAGAAAAAAGUUCUGGACAGUCUGAACUGUGAAAAACCUGACAGUAGGGCGAGAAAAGGAGCUACUUCCUAUUUCAUCAGCUGGAAUUCUUGAGAAGGACCACUGGAGGGUAGCGCAGUGACACACGUCUCUCCAGACUCAGUGAUCGGAUCUUGAAUCCAACCCUCUGAAGCUGCACCCUCCUCUGGGGAAGGCCCACCCAGCUCUCUAUGGAAAGUCAGGCUGGCAGUUUUGCUGCCUGCUGACUUCAAACAGUCAGGAGGGAGGAGCCAGCAGCCUGCUUCCUGGAGCAUCACCACAGUGCAGCCCUGGCUCCACCACGAGCCUCUAAUUUUGCAAGAAGGCGGUUUGGCUGAGUUGCCAUCCUGGACUCCGGAAAGCCUCACCCCGUACGGCGUGACUGACUGGCUUGAGGGCCAGCCCACACGCUGGCGGGCAACACACAGACCAUACCCCAUACAUCGGCAGGACGACGCUGCUCUGGCCGCCACAUCCCCACCCCAAACCAACAGCACUUGUGGGUUCCUGGGGAGCAGACACCAGAACAAUCAAUCAGCUUGAGCAACGAGAACCCAGACUGAACCUGAGCAACUCUGAGUAUUCUCGACCUGGCUGUCCUGGCACACUGAACCUCCCUCUUCUCAUCCCUUCCCACUUCCGAAGAGCUGGGAAUUUCCAUAUUUAAAAGUAGGCAUGUCUUCAGAGAGGGACUGCCUGGGCACUGGGGAAUGGACCAGAUCCUUGCUUCUCAAAGCAUGGUCUGCCCAGCAUGGGCAUCACCUGUGUCUUGGCAGAAAUGCAGAUUCUGAGGCUCCACCCUGAACCCUCUGGAUCUGAACCUGCGUUUUAUUAACAGUCUUUAAAGUUUUUUCUCUUAUUAUGGCCUCAGGUGUGGCAUAUGGAAGUUCCCAGGCUAGGGGUGGAAUCGGGGCUAUAGCUUCCAGCCUACACCACAGGUAGAGCAACUCGGGAUCCAAGCCACUUCUGUGACCUACACCACAGCUCAUGGCAACGCCAGAUCCUUAACUGACUGAGUGAGGCCAGGGAUCAAACCAGCAUCCUCAUGAUACUAGUCAGGUUCUUAACCUGCUGGGCCACAACAGGAAGUCCAGAAUCUGCAUUUUAAUAGCUUCCCCAGGUGAUCUGUGGACAGAUGUAUUAAGGCGGGGAAAGCCCCAGGAGUAUGGACUCGAUGCUCCCUCCAGCUACUGGAGGUGGAGAUCUGAUACCCCAAACGAACAUCCUUUGAGCCUUCUACCCAGAGUGUUAGAACACCCCUGCCUCUCACAGUGGGGCCCCGAGUUCCCUGCUCUGUGUGCUAAGGGCCAGCAUUCCACCUGCUCAGCAGCUUUUCAAAAAUGGGGAUUCACUCCAUCUGCUCCCAGCACAGAGAGGCAGUGCAAUUUCAGAGGUGCUAUGGGGGGCUGACCUUGCCUGACCCCAGGCAGGGCUCUGGAAGCUGUGGCAUCAUGGCACAGACAGCCCUUUUCACCACAACCACAGAGCUAUCCCUCCAGGGGCUCCACAGCUCUGAAGUCCCAGAAAGGUGGUACUGGCUGCUGCAAUUUUCAGGCUAGCAGGGCCACUGCCACUGUGAGCUGGGACACCUCUGCUGUCCACAGUGGGAAGGAGGUCCUGGCACUGCAAUCCGAUGCCAACCUGACUGCUUCGGCACCAGGCUCCUGUUGCCCUGGUCAGAGAGAGAGGGGGGGAUCCAAGCUAGCACUCCCUGUACCAGGCACACAGUGCAUGUCCCCAUCCAGGGAAGAAGACAAUGGUGAGCCAAAGAGGAGCUCCACGUGGCCUGGCCCUUUGAAUCCUUUUUUCCACCAGCCCAAACCCCAGGGCAGCUCUUGCUUUCUUCAUGAUACCUGUUUGCGCAAGGUCCCUGGGGACCUGGAAGCAGUGCCAACACAUAGCUCUUAGUCACCAAUAUCCUCCUAGGAAAGGCCAUAAAGUGGGGUCCAUGAAAGUCCGUACCCAAAGGGCUGUGCUCUGCUGCAAUCCCCAAUUUACAGAUGAGGAGACUGAAGCAUAAAGCAGUGAAUUCCUCACUCAAGGUCACAGGCUGACUCUUGGGUACUACAUGGCGGCGGACUUGACAUCUUGGGCUCAAAGCAAGCAGGGUCAAGAGCAGUUUAGCCAAUGCCUCUACUGCGAGACUUCCCAGAGCCUGCAGAGUGCAGGUAUGCUCUGACUCACAAUUUUGCUUCACAAGGUAACUUCAAGGGCAGGUACUCCACAGAACACACUUGGAGAAACAUUGCUCGGGAGGCCAUCAGGGCAGAGCUGGUGUGGGUAGAGAGCACCCCAGCUGGGGAACUGUUACAUUGUCAGGGGAAGGACUGUGAGCUUGGGACUGGGGAUAACAGGGGUGGAAUUCAUCCCUUCUCAAGGGACACUGGACAGCUACACCUGCCCACCCAACCUUCCACUUCUGCCAGGUCUGCCAGGUCUGGAGCUCCAUGACGGCAAUGCUCAUCCACUGACUUCCCUGCCACCAAAGCACUAGCUAUCCUGCCAAGCCGCAUCCAUGGAGCCUUCCUAGGCUGCCUCUCCCCCACCUGCCAGCCUUGCAAUAGCCAAGAGCCCUGAACCCAAAUCUCAACCUGACCCCAACUGAUGAGUUGACCCAAAGACAACCGACCUCAGGAUCUAAGGUCCCUUUUGGUUCAAAAGUUCUAUUUGUUGUAGUCUGUGCUCUUCCAGGACCAAAAGUUCAAGGAAUCAAAGAGAAAAUUUUAAACUUGCCACUUUGUGGAGCUAAGAUAGCUCCCAUUUACAGGCCUGCUCAGUACCAGGCAUGUUCUGGGCACUGCAUACUCAGUAUGGUCAUUCCUUACAAGAAUCCAACAAAGCAAGCAUCAUGACACUCUGCUUACAGGUGAAGAAACCGAGCUCAACAUGGCUGCCAGCCACAGAUGUCAGUCUAACAAGUAUGGGAUCCAUGAUGUACCCUUGGGUCUGACUGCAGAGCCUCUAUGGACGUGUGCAUUUCCACAGAGAGAGCCAGGAACUUCUUAGACGGUGCUCAUCCACGGACCACCCCACCGUCAAAGCACUGGCCACAGCCCUAGCAGAAGUGGAAGGUUUGGUGGGCAGGUGUGGCUGUCCAAGGUCACCCAGAGCACCCCUGUGACAGGGACCUGAGCAUUUCUCCAAGGGCACCUAAGUGAUCUGAACAAAAAGGAGCAUCUGAAGGUCAUCCGAUGUAGCCGAUCUCCAGAAUGAAACGAGGCACCAAGGCCAAUCUGGAAUCAAGAAUUCUGAGGCCCUGAAGCUCCAGCCCUCACUGGAUGCGUCAGGCCAGACCCUGGGUAAUUACCAAGCCAUAAUGGGAUCUGAUAUUUAUAUCAGUCACGAGCCUGACAGGGAAAAUGCGUUGUUUUCUCCGACAGAGCUAUGGAGACAAUCCCUCCAAAAUUCAUUACAUGCAGACCAGCCUUGAUCAAGGCCAAACUUCUGCAGGGAGGACAGCUCAAACCGAAAGACUAAGCCCAGCCCAUCAGACCCCCCAGCAAACCACAGCUCCCUAGGAAGUGGGCCUCAGUUUCCCAAGACAUUGAAAGAGAAGCAGACUGUGUGCUGAAGGAAGAUGGGAAUGAAAACACACAAGUGCUCUGAGCCUGGAGAAUUACAAGACACAUUCUGAGCUGGAAAUUUUACCCAUCGUUCACCAACUCUUUCCACUGUCCUCCAAGUCCCAGUGCAGGACGAGGCAUUAGCGUUCACGGAAUUCAAUCCCCACCUUUUAUAUACCAGGCAAGGGACCAGAGAGGUUCAAAGACUUCUUCAAGGUCAUGACCUUAGUCAGGCUGCCAGAGCAGCUUUUUAUAUUCACUCCAGCCUGUGACUGGCUUGGACCUCAAAACACCACAGCCGAGUGAAGAGGGGGCUCUGAUGAAACCCAACAGAGAAGAAAAAAAAAAGUGGGAAAAGAACAGCAAAGAACAGAGUAGCGGAAUGACUGUCACCAAGUUCCCCACAGAGGGAAAAUGUGACACUUUUCCUUCAUUUCCUAAAGAAAUGGUAUGUGGAUACCAUUCUUUUCAAAACAGUAAAGUCAUUCACGACUUGAGAUUUGGAGGCCAGCGGGACUAAGAUGCGAUGCCUCCCGAUGCACAUCUAGUUUGGGUUCCUUUAAUCUAAAAGGAUGGUGCAGUCCCAGGGACCAAAUGCUUGUGAUUCCAGAGCUUUUGCUGAAACUUACCUUCCCUGGAAUCACAGAUGUUAAAAAAUCUAGACUUCCUCUGGACCCUAGCUCCUGUUCAAACCAUCCUGGGGCCAAAUAAGGAUGAGGGUGAACAUAUCUGAGGAGUGGUAGAAUUGUGAAGAAAAGCAGCCUCAGUUUGCUUGGGAAACCCAGCACUAAAAAAAAAAUUAUUCCAAACAAGCCAAAUGCAUUCUUCUGAACACUGUCUCCACAGCUACCAAAUACUUGGAAAGCAAAAAAAAAAAAAAAAAAAAGAAAAAGAAAAAAGA